rnacentral:rRNA from 1 species
AUUGAACGCUGGCGGCAGGCCUAACACAUGCAAGUCGAACGAGUAGCGGAAGGGUGAGUAAUGUCUGGGAAAAUGCCCGAUGGAGGGGGAUAACUACUGGAAACGGUAGCUAAUACCGCAUACCAUCGGAUGUGCCCAGAUGGGAUUAGCUCGGAGGUGGGGUAACGGCUCAACUCGGCGACGAUCCCUAGCUGCUCUGAGAGGAUGACAACCCACACUGGAACGGAGACACGGUCCAGACUCGGACGGGAGGCAGUAGUGGGGAAUAUUGCACAAGGGGCGCAAUCAUGAUGCAGCCAUGCCGCGGGUAUGAAGAAGGCCUUCGGGUUGUAAAGUACUGUCAGCGAGGAGGCGUUACUCGCAGAGGAAGCACCGGCUAACUCCGUGCCAGCAGCCGCGGUAAUAC